rnacentral:lncRNA from 1 species
AUGGUAUUAACCAGUAACUCUAUCCUACAGGAAAAUGGAAAUAUCAUUCACCAGAAAGAACUGAAGUUCUCAGACCCAGCGGAUGACAGAAGGACAACACCAGAGGGCUGUGGGGGAAUGGAGCCGAUCAUCUGUCAAGCCUUUUCUUGGAGUAAGUACGUGAUACCACGCUUCUGCUCUGCCA